UUGGAGGGCAAGUCUGGUGCCAGCAGCCGCGGUAAUUCCAGCUCCAAUAGCGUAUAUUAAAGUUGUUGCAGUUAAAAAGCUCGUAGUUGAAUUUCGGGGUUAGUAGGUUGGUCAUGCCACUGGUAUGUACUGGUCUCACUGAUUCCUCCUUCCUGAUGAGACGUAAUGCCAUUAAUUUGGUGUUGCGAGGAAUCUGGACUGUUACUUUGAAAAAAUUAGAGUGUUUAAAGCAGGCUAACGCUUGAAUACAUUAGCAUGGAAUAAUGAAAUAGGACGUUCGAUCUUAUUUUGUUGGUUUCUAGGAUUGACGUAAUGAUUAAUAGGGAUAGUUGGGGGCAUUAGUAUUCAAUUGUCAGAGGUGAAAUUCUUGGAUUUAUUGAAGACUAACUACUGCGAAAGCAUUUGCCAAGGAUGUUUUCAUUAAUCAAGAACGAAAGUUAGGGGAUCGAAGACGAUCAGAUACCGUCGUAGUCUUAACCAUAAACUAUGCCGACUAGGGAUCGGGUGAUGUUAAUUUUUUAAUGACUCAUUCGGCGCCUUACGGGAAAC
rnacentral:rRNA from 1 species